AGCGUACACGGUGGAUGCCCUGGCAGUCAGAGGCGAUGAAGGACGUGCUAAUCUGCGAUAAGCGUCGGUAAGGUGAUAUGAACCGUUAUAACCGGCGAUUUCCGAAUGGGGAAACCCAGUGUGUUUCGACACACUAUCAUUAACUGAAUCCAUAGGUUAAUGAGGCGAACCGGGGGAACUGAAACAUCUAAGUACCCCGAGGAAAAGAAAUCAACCGAGAUUCCCCCAGUAGCGGCGAGCGAACGGGGAGCAGCCCAGAGCCUGAAUCAGUGUGUGUGUUAGUGGAAGCGUCUGGAAAGGCGCGCGAUACAGGGUGACAGCCCCGUACACAAAAAUGCACAUGCUGUGAGCUCGAUGAGUAGGGCGGGACACGUGGUAUCCUGUCUGAAUAUGGGGGGACCAUCCUCCAAGGCUAAAUACUCCUGACUGACCGAUAGUGAACCAGUACCGUGAGGGAAAGGCGAAAAGAACCCCGGCGAGGGGAGUGAAAAAGAACCUGAAACCGUGUACGUACAAGCAGUGGGAGCACGCUUAGGCGUGUGACUGCGUACCUUUUGUAUAAUGGGUCAGCGACUUAUAUUCUGUAGCAAGGUUAACCGAAUAGGGGAGCCGAAGGGAAACCGAGUCUUAACUGGGCGUUAAGUUGCAGGGUAUAGACCCGAAACCCGGUGAUCUAGCCAUGGGCAGGUUGAAGGUUGGGUAACACUAACUGGAGGACCGAACCGACUAAUGUUGAAAAAUUAGCGGAUGACUUGUGGCUGGGGGUGAAAGGCCAAUCAAACCGGGAGAUAGCUGGUUCUCCCCGAAAGCUAUUUAGGUAGCGCCUCGUGAAUUCAUCUCCGGGGGUAGAGCACUGUUUCGGCAAGGGGGUCAUCCCGACUUACCAACCCGAUGCAAACUGCGAAUACCGGAGAAUGUUAUCACGGGAGACACACGGCGGGUGCUAACGUCCGUCGUGAAGAGGGAAACAACCCAGACCGCCAGCUAAGGUCCCAAAGUCAUGGUUAAGUGGGAAACGAUGUGGGAAGGCCCAGACAGCCAGGAUGUUGGCUUAGAAGCAGCCAUCAUUUAAAGAAAGCGUAAUAGCUCACUGGUCGAGUCGGCCUGCGCGGAAGAUGUAACGGGGCUAAACCAUGCACCGAAGCUGCGGCAGCGACGCUGAUGCGUUGUUGGGUAGGGGAGCGUUCUGUAAGCCUGUGAAGGUGUGCUGUGAGGCAUGCUGGAGGUAUCAGAAGUGCGAAUGCUGACAUAAGUAACGAUAAAGCGGGUGAAAAGCCCGCUCGCCGGAAGACCAAGGGUUCCUGUCCAACGUUAAUCGGGGCAGGGUGAGUCGACCCCUAAGGCGAGGCCGAAAGGCGUAGUCGAUGGGAAACAGGUUAAUAUUCCUGUACUUGGUGUUACUGCGAAGGGGGGACGGAGAAGGCUAUGUUGGCCGGGCGACGGUUGUCCCGGUUUAAGCGUGUAGGCUGGUUUUCCAGGCAAAUCCGGAAAAUCAAGGCUGAGGCGUGAUGACGAGGCACUACGGUGCUGAAGCAACAAAUGCCCUGCUUCCAGGAAAAGCCUCUAAGCAUCAGGUAACAUCAAAUCGUACCCCAAACCGACACAGGUGGUCAGGUAGAGAAUACCAAGGCGCUUGAGAGAACUCGGGUGAAGGAACUAGGCAAAAUGGUGCCGUAACUUCGGGAGAAGGCACGCUGAUAUGUAGGUGAAGUCCCUCGCGGAUGGAGCUGAAAUCAGUCGAAGAUACCAGCUGGCUGCAACUGUUUAUUAAAAACACAGCACUGUGCAAACACGAAAGUGGACGUAUACGGUGUGACGCCUGCCCGGUGCCGGAAGGUUAAUUGAUGGGGUUAGCCGCAAGGCGAAGCUCUUGAUCGAAGCCCCGGUAAACGGCGGCCGUAACUAUAACGGUCCUAAGGUAGCGAAAUUCCUUGUCGGGUAAGUUCCGACCUGCACGAAUGGCGUAAUGAUGGCCAGGCUGUCUCCACCCGAGACUCAGUGAAAUUGAACUCGCUGUGAAGAUGCAGUGUACCCGCGGCAAGACGGAAAGACCCCGUGAACCUUUACUAUAGCUUGACACUGAACAUUGAGCCUUGAUGUGUAGGAUAGGUGGGAGGCUUUGAAGUGUGGACGCCAGUCUGCAUGGAGCCGACCUUGAAAUACCACCCUUUAAUGUUUGAUGUUCUAACGUGGACCCGUAAUCCGGGUUGCGGACAGUGUCUGGUGGGUAGUUUGACUGGGGCGGUCUCCUCCUAAAGAGUAACGGAGGAGCACGAAGGUUGGCUAAUCCUGGUCGGACAUCAGGAGGUUAGUGCAAUGGCAUAAGCCAGCUUGACUGCGAGCGUGACGGCGCGAGCAGGUGCGAAAGCAGGUCAUAGUGAUCCGGUGGUUCUGAAUGGAAGGGCCAUCGCUCAACGGAUAAAAGGUACUCCGGGGAUAACAGGCUGAUACCGCCCAAGAGUUCAUAUCGACGGCGGUGUUUGGCACCUCGAUGUCGGCUCAUCACAUCCUGGGGCUGAAGUAGGUCCCAAGGGUAUGGCUGUUCGCCAUUUAAAGUGGUACGCGAGCUGGGUUUAGAACGUCGUGAGACAGUUCGGUCCCUAUCUGCCGUGGGCGCUGGAGAACUGAGGGGGGCUGCUCCUAGUACGAGAGGACCGGAGUGGACGCAUCACUGGUGUUCGGGUUGUCAUGCCAAUGGCACUGCCCGGUAGCUAAAUGCGGAAGAGAUAAGUGCUGAAAGCAUCUAAGCACGAAACUUGCCCCGAGAUGAGUUCUCCCUGACUCCUUGA
rnacentral:rRNA from 1 species